rnacentral:lncRNA from 1 species
CAGGUUAUCGUGAAGAGUUGCAAUGCCAUUUAUCAACUCUCUCGACUCAAAUAUUUUUCUUAUUGCCCAAGCAGCAGACCUAGGCAAUGGCAUGUCAUCAAUACAGCAAUUUUUAAUAUAGAAAGUAUGCACCCAUUUUAUUCACAAACUAUUCUUCUUCUUGGUCAGUGCUUAUAAAUGAUUUACAACAGCAGCCUUAUUCCAUUUAAACAGGUUCAACACAUUUAAACCCCCUGCACUGUGUGGCAUACAGAGAGUUUCCCAGGCAACCAGAGCUUUCCUUGAUACUGAAGCUGAACCUGUCCAAAGGUAUGAUCUGCAUAUUUCUUCAGUCAUUCUCAGAACUUUUUUAGUCAGUGGAAAUAUUUGGGACCAGUAGGCUUGAAUACCAAACAAAACUGAUUUAGUCAGUUGAAGUCGACCAACAUAGGAGAGGCAACCUUGAUAACCAGCAGCUUAUUUUCUGUGUGAUUUUCUC